GAAAUAAUGGGAGCUUAAAGGAGAGGAAUGUGGGGGAGUUAUCAGCCUGUGAAAUAGGUCUAAGACUGCUGAACAAGAGAGGGAAAGAAGGUCUCAGACUAUACAUUUGUGAAUUUCUGUAAUAAAGAGGAAAUAGAAACCCAUUCAAAGUAGGAAGUCUUUGCUACCUAUCAAACAGUGAACUGAAUGACCUCAGUAUGAUAAUUUAGAACACCAUUCAUUUUAUGUGCAAUAACAUUGUUGAGGACUGAUGAAGCUUCAUUGUGAAAAUCUACAAAAGUAGAGGUGGGAAGUCACAUGCAUUGAUGCUUCAGAACACAGGAAGAUGAGCUAAUCAUCUGCCAACCUUGAACUGAGAAAUUGUGAUCCCAAUAUAUAAAGUAUAAUUGUGCAAAAUAGUCUUAGGGACUAUUUUAAAUCCCUCUUCAGCUCAUGUACGGGUUGAUUUGUUCACCUAAUAAAUGCAA
rnacentral:lncRNA from 1 species